AGAGAAGAUCGGUAGGUGUGAUUGGAAACCCUGGCUUUAGGCAGUCUCCUGGAAAUACAGCCUGUUCUUGAUAGAAGACAAGAGGAGUGAGCCCCAGCAGUAUUGAGAAGGAACAAGACAAUGUAUUGCUGUAUAUUGGGAAGACACAAGACUAUAGGUUGCCAAAACAUAUGCUAUAUAUAAUCCUAUUAGUAUCCUAUCACCUAAAACUUUUCAAAAUUGGCCAAAUUAUAUUGACAUUUUUCUUCAUUAUACAUUGAGUGGCA
rnacentral:lncRNA from 10 species